rnacentral:piRNA from 1 species
AAGCACAGCUUGUGAAGCUCUGUCUGUC